AUUGAACGCUGGCGGCAGGCUUAACACAUGCAAGUCGAGCGGGGUGAUGGUGCUUGCACUAUCACUUAGCGGCGGACGGGUGAGUAAUGCUUAGGAAUCUGCCUAUUAGUGGGGGACAACAUCUCGAAAGGGAUGCUAAUACCGCAUACGUCCUACGGGAGAAAGCAGGGGAUCACUUGUGACCUUGCGCUAAUAGAUGAGCCUAAGUCGGAUUAGCUAGUUGGUGGGGUAAAGGCCUACCAAGGCGACGAUAGGUAGCGGGUCUGAGAGGAUGAUCCGCCACACUGGGACUGAGACACGGCCCAGACUCCUACGGGAGGCAGCAGUGGGGAAUAUUGGACAAUGGGGGGAACCCUGAUCCAGCCAUGCAGCGUGUGUGAAGAAGGCCUUAUGGUUGUAAAGCACUUUAAGCGAGGAGGAGGCUCUUUUGGUUAAUACCCAAGAUGAGUGGACGUUACUCGCAGAAUAAGCACCGGCUAACUCUGUGCCAGCAGCCGCGGUAA
rnacentral:rRNA from 1 species